UUAGUUACAACGAAAUAUCUGGUGGCAUUCAGGAUAUGAUUAAAGACCUCAGUUAUUCAAAGUUGAAUUUUCUCCUUUUAAAAUGUAAUCACAUUACUGGGGAUAUACCUAAGCAAUUAUGUCAAUUGAUAAAUUUAACCAUUCUAGAUCUUUCAGACAAUAAACUUUUGGGAGAAAUUCCUCAUUGCUUGGAGACAAUGCCUUUUGAUAAUAACAACCUUAUUCCAUUAUUAAAAGCAUCCAAGGGAGUUUUGUUGAAGAAUAUUCUCAUAACCUAAUAAAGAGAAAGCAAGUUUCACAAGAGCAUAAGAAAGAGAAAGCAAGUUUCACUUCAAAGAAAAGAAUUGAUACUUACACGGGAAGCAUCCUUGUUUUUAUGUCUGGAAUUGACUUAUCCAAUAAUAAAUUGAAGGGGAAUAUUCCUUACGAGCUUGGAAACUUGACAAGAAUCCAAACAUUGAACUUGUCUCAUAAUGAUUUGAUUGGACAAAUUCCAGAUUCAUUCUCGAAGUUGGUGCAAAUAGAGAGUUUAGAUCUUUCUUUUAAUAAGUUGAGUGGUGAAAUUCCAUCUAAACUCAAUAUUCUAACCACACUUGAAGUAUUAAGUGUGGCACACAACAACUUAUCAGGCCCAAUACCUGAAUGGACAAAUCAAUUUGCCACAUUUGAUGAGAGUAGCUAUGAGGGUAACCCAUUUCUUUGUGGACCUCCAUUACCAAAGAGUUGUCAUCCAACUCCUAGAGUUAUUUCAAAUGACUUGGAUUCUGACAAAGACAAUGAUAGGUUGGUAGAUAUGUAUAUCUUUUAUGUGAGCUUUGUUGUAUCAUACACGUUAGCAUUGUUAACAACUGCAGCAGCUCUAUGCAUCAAUCCUUCCUGGACACAAGCAUAGUUUAACUACAUGAAAUUUGUCAAUUUUAAAUUGUUACUACUUUAUCGUGGACAAUUUUUUAAAUUUUGUAAUACUAAAAAUAUGUAACAUGUAUAUUUAUUUCGUUGUUUUCUUUUAAAAGUGACUUAAUAAAAAAAAAGUCAUGCAUGUGUGGCUUAAUAUAAUAAUAUGAAAUCUAAAUUUUGUAUUCAUUAAUGUUAAGGAUUUUUUUAGUCUUUUAAGUUCUUCAUUAUACUGUGAGAGAAUCUAGAUAAGAUAUUUUUUUAUAUCACAUCAAUUAAUAUUAAGACUUCAUAUGUUUUUAGUAUUUAUAAAACAGGUUAACUUGGUUGAGGUGAAAAAAUUUGUAGUCUAUAUAAAAUCAUGAUAUUUUAUUUUAGUCUUUAAAAUCUUGUUUUUAGUAUCUAUGUCUUAGAAUCUGAACGAGACAAAGUUAUGAUUUAAUAAAAAUUAAAAGUGAUUUAAUUUUUUAUUUAAUAGUAAGAACUUGCUAACAGAAAAUUAUGGAAACUAAAAGUUUUAGUGAAAUGUAGUAGAAAUUAAAAAAUUACUCUAUUUAAAAGAACACUUGAAUCCCUUAAUAAUAAUUUAAAAUCAUGAUUCACUUAAAAUUUUAUACGAUUUAUUUUCCACACGCAUUAUUUUUUACCCACCACCCAUUUGUAUGUAGUAUCUAUCUGUUACUCGAAAACACAUUAUUAAUGUUACAGUAAAAAAAUUAUUAAAUAUAAUUAAUUCAAUAUAUUACAAAAAAAUUUAUUAAAUAUAAAUCAAUUUUAGAGAAAAAUAAUAAUAAUAAUUAAUUAAUUAAAUUAGAUACUAUUUUAGAUAUUAAAAAAAUUAUUAGUAUCUAAAUUAAUUUCUCUUUUUAAUAAAUAAUUUCUAAAUUAAUAUUUAAUUAAUUAUCAAAGUUUUAGUUAUUAACUUAAGAAUCUAAAUAAUUGGUAACAAAAAUAUUUAUAACUAAUUAGAUACCUAUUUAACUACUAUUUAUAAAUAACAACAACUAAUUUAAAUACCAAAAAUUUUUAGUCUCGACAAUAGUAUCUAAUUUAGUUAAUAUAACUAAUUAUUUUUUUGUCUCUAAACGUUGUUUGUAUUUAAUGAUUAGUGUUACUUUAUGAUUUCACAGAAGUAUAUUACUACACUAUGAACAUAAACUAUAUAUUUUUUUCAUAACUAGGGAUGUUAAGGAAUUUAGCUGUUGUUAUACAAGCCAAGGACUCAAAGUUACAUUCAGUUACGAUUCCUAUUGAUAAUCAUCAUGUGGAGAUCUCUGCUCUUGUGGCUUUACCAUCUCCAUUGCGUCCUACCUCACCUCGGAAGGCUAAAUCACCUGCAGAUUCUAAAGCACCAAUUAAUACUCCAAUUGAUAGUCAUCAUGUGGAGGUCUCUACUAUUGUGACUGCACUAUCUUUGUCGCCUCAUACCACCCCUCGGAAGGCUAAAUCUCUUGGGGAUGUUAAAGCACUAUCGUUGGUCCUGCAAAAUCAUUUUUUCUCUCUGAGUGGUUUGGAAACUACAUAUGUUAUUUCAAAAUUUUGGGUUGAUCCUAAUGAGAUGGAGGAGGAUGCCAGUGAUACUGGGGAGAAAAUAGUUUGCACUAAGAGAAAAAACAGGGAGACCACCUAGGGGACUGGUAAAUAAAUAAAAAACUGCUUGGGCAAUUCUCUCUACAACGUUGCAAUGUGGAGAUGUUGAUUAGUUUACUUAAACUACAUAAAACCUCCUAGUUUUUCUUGUUGAACCUAUGAUGUUGUAUACUGAUUCUUUCGACGUCCUUUUCAAAUAUGUUAAUAUGCAUUUGGUGACUACGUCUCCUAUUGUUAAUAAAGCGUCUAAACUGUGGUGUUUGUUGGUUCCUAAUCUUAUCCAAAAUUUCUUAGUCAAUGAUCAGUUUAUUUUUGUAACUUGUCUUCUACAUGAUAAAUGUUUUAGCUUUGUAGGUGUUCAUGCUGCUACCACAUACUUGGUAGAUGAUUUUUGUGGAUGGAUCUUAGUUUCUUCAUAGGGUCGUGGUGUAUUCUGGGAGAUUUUAAAGGGGGCGACUCUUAAUCAGGUUUCCUGUAGUGAAUUCCUUAAUGAUCUUUCUUGUAUGCCUUUUACUGGAUCUUUUUAUACUUGGUGUAAUGGAAGGAGAGGGUUGCAUAGAACUCAUAGAAGAUUGGAUAGGGCUUUAUGUAAUGGAAUGUGUCUGGAUGAAUGAGACUCUUGUACUUAUCAAGUUCUUGUUAAAAACUGUUAUGAUCAUCCCCCUAUUCUUGCUAGUCUUGUAGUAAUUCUUUGAGGAAGGUUAGCAAUUUUCGUUUCUUUUCUAUAUGACUUCAGAACACUUCAUGUCUGAAGCUUAUUCAUGAUUCUUUGGCUAAUAAGGUUGUUCGUUGUCCUAUGCUUAUUUUGCAACAUAAGUUAAAAAUGUUGAAAAUUGACCUCCAAGACUGGAAUAAAAAUUCUUUUGGUAAUGUUCAUAAUGAAGUUCUUCUUAAGCAGGGUCUUCUCCUUGGUAUUCAACAAAACUUAGAGACUGUCAGUUUGUCUAAUAUUGUUGGGCUUCUCUGUCAAGAAAAGAUUGUUAAGGAGGAGUUUGAUCAUGUUCUUCACUGUCAAUAUUUGUUUUGGAAAGAAAUGGCUAAGUUGUUAUGGUUCAAAGAUGGAGAUCGAAAUACUGCUUUUUUCCAUGUUGUGGUCAAAAGGAGAAAUAAUUCUAGUGGGAUUCAUCUUCUACGGAUUGAUAAUAAGGUUACUCAGGAUCCUAAACUCAUUGAGGAUUAUAUUUUGGACUUUUAUAAAAAUCUUUAUGCUGAGUCUAUUUCUAAUGUUCUGGAUACAAGUAAUAUGCUUGGAACUUUGUUUAUAGCAACAAGCCUUGAUCUUUGCUCUUGAAAGUCAGAGUUCUUAAAUCCAAAUACGAUUUUAGAAUGGUUUAUAGAUCCUCAUUUCUUUGGCCUAGAAUUAAGCAAUUUUAUUCUACUAUACUUGAUUAUACUUCUUGGAUGGUUGGUACAGGUUCUUUUAUUAAUUUCUGGAAUGAUAAAUGGUGUUCAACAACUUCUUUAACAAAUAUUGCAGCGUUAUCUGAUGGUGCUAGCAUUCCGGAUCUAGUCUCUCAGUUUUGGACAAGUUGUGAUUGGAAUAUUCCCUUAUCUGUACAGCAGAUGCCUCAUUUUUUUUUAAUCAUAUCAUGGUUAGGGAGGAACAAGAUAUUUCUAAUUGGAUUCUAUAUGAUUCUAUUCGUUUAACUCUUAAACUGGUUAGGACUUUUAUCUUGGAACCAGGAGUUCUCUGUGGUUGGGGUAAAUUCAUUUGGUCUUCAUCUAUUCCGGCUUCCAAAACUAUGGUACUCUGGAAAGUUUUUCAUGGGCAGCUUCCGACAGAUCAAUAUAUUCAUAAUAAAGGUUUGCAUAUAUGUUCUAUGUGUACGCUUUGUGAAAAGCAUGAGGAAUCUAUCCAACAUUUAUUUUUUAAUGUUCUAAUGUCUUACAUAUUUGGAGUUGGGUUUGGCAGAUUUUUCUUACUUCUCAUUUCUCUAAUAAAGUUGAUUUUCUUUCCUUUAUUAAGAGCGAAGGUAGUCCUUUGGUUAAAUUGAUUAAGCUUGUUGUCAAAACUUUUUCUAUUUGGAUGACGUAUGAGGAAUUAUGCUAGACUUCAGGAUAAGAUUGAGCUAUUUCGAUUAUUAAAGAUUUAACUUGUCUAGUGGGAAAUUCGUCUAAAGCUUCAAUGAAGAAUGAUAUGUUGGAUUUCAAAGUGAUUAUGUUUUUUGGUAUUAAUACUCAUAGUGGUAAAGUUCUUCGUCAUCUUCCUGUUAGAUGGGAUUUUCCUUCACCAGGUUGGGUUAAAAUUAACACUGAUGGUGCUGCUAGGAGUAUCCUGGUCUUGCUACUUGUGGAGGUAUUUUCCAUAGGAGUAUAGGGGAGUUUAUUUGUGCUUUCUCUGCAUUUUUUGAAGUUCAAACUUCUAUGGCUGCUGAGUUUUAUGAAGUUAUACAUGCUAUGGAGGAAGCUCAAAAGAUGGGGCUUACUAAUGUGUCUGGCUUGAAUGUGAUUAUGUGUUGGUUUAUGUUGCGUUUACUGCUAGGACUAAUGUUUCGCGAAUGCUUCGUAAUCAAUGAAAUACUUGUCUUAAUUAUUGUGUGAAAAUCAGGUUCGUGGUUACUCAUAUUUUUCAUGAAGAAAAUGCGUGUGCUGAUAAAUGAGCUAAUUUAGGAUUUAUUCAUAGAGAAUCAUUUCAUUGAUAUAAUAGACUUCCAUCUAGUAUGUUAUUAGAAUUAUUUAUGAAUAGGUAUAAUCUACCUAUGUAUUGUUUUUGUUAACAUAUAGAUUUUAGUCUAGUCCCCUCAUAUUUUUGUAUUUUUUUUAAUAAUACUUUUUUUACUGUGAUAGCAAAUGAUUGUUAUUACUUGAGGUGUCAAUCUAGUUGAGAUUUCAAGUUGUAUAGUGAUGCCUAAUAUGAAAGUUUUUAUAAAAAAAAACAUAAACUAUAUAUUGUUUUAUAAUUUUUUAUUAAUCAUUUUAUAUCCAAUAAAUAUUGAAUAUGUUUAUAAAAAAUUAAACCCAUUCUGUUAUGUUCCAAUACAAUAUAUAAAAAUUAAUACAAUUUAUAAACUAAGAAAUAAUCAUUGAUAUAGCAUAUAAUACCAUUUUUCUAACUAAUUGAGCAAGAUCAUUCUUCUUCUUAUGAAAUAGUAAUUGUAAUGGCACCUAAAGAAAAAAGAAAAAAGAGAAUAAAGAAUAGAGUGUAACUGGUGCCGAACACGAGCUAAAUAUGACUCUACUUAGCUAACAGACCCCAUGUAAGGUAAACAAAAUACAUGAGAAGAGCUAUAAAAAUUACUGUUUUAAUUUGCUCUCUAUGGUUAGAGUAUCUCAUUACAUAAGAGACAUAAUACUAACUCAUUAAAACACACAUCACAUAAUAUAUUAUGGUAACUUAAUAUUUAAUAUGACACCUAUAAAAAGGAUUUUACUGUAAAAUUAGUAACAAAUGUGACUCACAACACAGUUUGCAAACUUGGAUUCCUAAAUUUCUGUUAGUGGAGCUUAGCUUAUCUUCAACCAUUGAAACUAGUUCUUUUCAGCUUCCCAAAUUUCUUCUUUAUCAAAAAUAUUUAACUAGUAUAGAUUUUAGUAGUUUGAAGUUGGAAGGAGGGUUUCCUAAUUGGUUGUUAGAAAACAACACAAGGUUAACUGAAGUUGUUUUUAGAAAUUGUUCUUUGAAUGGUACUAUGCAAAUACCAUUGCGCCCCCUUCUUGAGUUACGAAGUAUUGAUGUGUCUAGCAAUACCAUAAUUGGUGAAAUCCCAAGCAAGAAUAUCAGUUUUAUUUAUCCAAAUUUGAGAUAUUUAAACAUGUAUAGAAACCACAUCCAAGGUUCAAUUUCUCGUGAGUUUGGCCGAAUGAAGUUGUAUUUGUUGGAUCUUUCAGACAACCAAUUGUUAGGAAAAAUAUCAGAGGACACAUUCGAAGCUUGGCACCAACUUCAUUUCUUGGAACUCUCAAAUAAUAAGUUGGAGGGACCCAUUUUUACAAUACCCACUAGUUUGGAGUUUUUAUCAUUGAAUGAUAAUAACUUUAGUGGUAGACUUCCUACGAACAUUUUUAACACAUCCAUUGUCUCAUUGGAUGUAAGCAAUAAUCAUUUGGUAGGAAAGAUUCCAAGACUUCAGAAUAAUUUAUCAACACUAUGGGAAAUUCGUAUGUCCAAUAACCACUUUGAAGGAUUCAUUCCGUUAGAAUUAACACAACUUGAAGAUCUAAAAUAUUUAAAUCUCUCCCAAAAUAAUUUGUCUGGUCUUGUACCAUCAUUUAUAAAUUCUUCUGUGAAAUUUAUCCAUUUGAGCAAUAAUCAUUUAGUAGGAUUGCCCAAAAAAAUGUUCACUGAAAACUCUUCUCUAGUGAUGUUGGACCUUAGUUACAACGAAAUAUCUGGUGGCAUUCAAGAUAUGAUUAAAGACCUCAGUUAUUCAAAGUUGAAUUUUCUCCUUUUAAAAGGUAAUCACAUUUAUGGGGAUAUACUUAAGCAAUUAUGUCAAUUGAUAAAUUUAACCAUGCUAGAUCUUUCAGACAAUAAACUUUUGGGAGAAAUUCCACAUUGCUUGGGAACAAUGCCUUUUGAUAUUAACAACCUUGAUCCAUUAUUAAAAGCAUCCAAGGGAAGUUUUGUUGAAGAAUAUA
rnacentral:lncRNA from 1 species